UGCCCUGACAAUGGGCAGAGUUAACACUUUAUUGAUGGUGUUAUAUUAGUCAGGGGCAGACUAGAUGAAAGCCCUUUGUUCAUCCUAGCUUGAUGCCUGAUAGGUGGCCAAAGCUGUUUCAUGCCUUGUUCACAAUC